CAGGAAAGCUAGGAAGAGCUGGGGGAGGUUGUGGAGAGGUUGGCGAGCUGGAGACUGGCAGCAUCAUUGGUUUGAACAGGCCGUGAUUGAUUUGUCACUAGAGGCCCGUUUGACUGGGCGAAAAGCCCUUCUGAUCUCAAUCUCUCUCUGCCUCCCUAUCUCCUCUGUCCCUCUUUCUCUCUCCACACUUUGGAGCUGGCACUUGCAGGCUGGGCAAGGGGGCUUGGGUUGAGGCUGACACAGAUCUGAAGGGUCGGAGGUCACUGCUGCUGAAGCCCUAUAACGAGACGAGGGAAAUCCUGGCUCUUCGUACCUUCCACUUUCUCAGUGUCACCUUUCAGUGUUGCCUUUCACUUAGAGGUUUACAAUCUCCCAAAACACACACACAUACAGAUACAGAAACAACCCCCUCCACCACCACCACCACAGGCACAAAACUGCAUCGCCCCUCUCUCUCUGUUUCUCACACACACACACAUUCUCUUCACCACCCCCCCUUCACCUUCCCAUUAUCUCUGGCUGGGAGAAACCUCUAGAUCUACAAAUAUUAAUUGCAAAAGACAACGAAAGGGACCGGAGCUGAUUCCCUUCCCAGAACUGCUGCAGCUAUGCCUCAAACCACACACUUUCCUGAAGGAGCCACCAGCAUGGGCCUUUCCGAAAUCUCUCUUUAUUUCAUUCAUUAAGGGCAUUAGGCAAGUUGGAAUUUGUAUGAGGAGGAUCCUAUGGGAAUACAGUCUCCGGGGUAGGUAUUUUCAUGACUUUCCACAUCCUGAGGCUCUCUCUGUAUCUCUUUCUUUCUCUCUUCCCGGUUAGAUGGGGUUUGGAAGGGACUGCCCUCAGCUUCCAGCUAAUCCUGGGGAAAUGAAUUAUUUGGAGCUGCAAAUGUUGAGUGAGAAAAUUUAUUUCAGAGAAGUGGCAAUUACCCACUAAGGAAUUAACAGAUCUUUCUGGCUACUUUUGUUAAUGGGCAUUAUUAUUAUUACUAUUAUUAUUAUUCCUACCUGGUUUAAGGUUCUUUUCCACACAAGUGUUUUUAAUGACAAUUGCAUUCGUUAUCCAGAAAAAAAGAAGUAGCAAACUGGGCAAGAGCAAAAUAAUAUUAACCAAACAAAAGCAUACUUAUUAAGUGGGCUGUUGUAUUUGUAUAAAAGCAGGACAAUCACAAUACUCCAGCUCAUUUCACUUGGCAAAGGGACAUGGCAUCAAUUUUUUAACUUUAAAAUAGUUUAAUGAACAUGAAUGGAG
rnacentral:lncRNA from 1 species